UUCUGAAGGUGGUUUUUAUUUUCUCUCACAAAGGUCCCAAUUUGGGCCCCGAGUCUGCUGGAGAAAAGAGAAAGGCUAAGAAGCAGCCUACCUUACCUGUGGCUCUGGGUCUGAGGAUGGCCAGGAGAACAGAGAGCAAAGCAGAGCCAAUGCAAGACCUCUGGCCCUGGAAGCCGAAGGGUCUCUCACAGGUCAACGCAGGAUCUACUCCAUCAUCAUCUUCACUAGCACACCCAGUUCGAUUGAGGAGCCUUGACGUGGGAUAUUGAUGGGAUAUUGAGAGAAAAGAGAAAUGGUGAAUCAAGCACUAAUCUCAAAGCUUCUGCACAGAACUACUUACAUGUCACUUCCUCCCAUGACUAUUCCUAAAUUCAGCCAAAAGGGGACACAUAAUCUCUUACGGGGGAGGGCACCA
rnacentral:lncRNA from 10 species